AGUGGCAAUGGGAGGAGAUACCAAUACACUCCUUCCCAUACCUCACGAAUAGCAUUUUCCAUGUCUGGCGCAGGUCGGAUGGUAGGUUUUGCAAAUGAUAACCCAAGGGGGCAACCGAAAUAGCGCCCAUAUACCUCCAUGAGAACUUCAUUAAUACAAUCAAAGAUAAGUUUCCUGUCAUAAGAAAGCUGGUUCGGAAAGGACCAUACCUCAUCAAAUAUUGAUGGGUCAAGAAGUGGGUCACAAGAAUUGGACAUGAUAUAGAACUCAUCCCAAUUCUCUCCAGAGGCUUGCAGCACUGCUUUCACAUAUUCAAAUAUUGAUUCCUUGUCUGCUAUAUAAGCUUUCAAAUGAGUGCCUAUAUCAGCGGCUGAAGGGACAUGCUCUUCAAAAUGAAUUCUUUGGGGUUGAAU
rnacentral:misc_RNA from 1 species